AGAUCUGAGGAAGGAAGAGGAGAGCCAUUAGUGACCAUGAUAUUCCUGUCAGGCCAUUUCAGGAAGCCACUGGAUCCCCUCCCCUCACUGUGGGAGCCCUAAAUGGAGCCCUCUGUGCCUCCCUAGUGGAGCUGCCUGCUUCCUGUCCAGUGCCGAGAGCUCCUGGAGGACGUGCAGGGUAGGGGAGAUCAGGAGGUAGGGCAGAGGUAUUAAAAGUUGAUGUCCCUCAGGAGCAGUCGAGGGCAGUAAGGAAGCUGGUGGGUGGGGGGGGGAUGUUGGCCCAAGGUCUCCAGCCGCCCCCCUCCCCCGCUACCAUCGCCAACAUCUGAUUAAGGUAAGAUUGCAUCUGAAGAAUGAGGGCCAGAGUUAAAGGAAGUCUAGAGACUGUAGGUAAAGAGCACAGAAUUUAGCACUAGAGGGCUGGAGUUCAAGUUCCAGCUUAAUUCUUACUGGUUAAGUGAUGUUGAACUAUGCAUUUAUCAGUAAAACAGAACUAAUAAUCCUCAUUUCACAGAGCUGCUCUAAGGAUUAUGAGAUAACAUACGUAAAGUAUCUAGAACAUAUGGAAAGUGACAGCUAUCAUUAAGGGUAAUAUUACUGAACUCAGAGCAGGAAAGCAACUGGGGCGGUUCUGGUAUUUGGUCAUCCUCCUACCUCUCCCAGCCCAGGCCCCACUCACUUGGAUGGGCUGCAGGCUUUACCAGUGCGGGGGCACAUAGCUGUACGCAGGGGUCCCUUGGGCCCUGUAUGUUGGCAUGGACACAGGGUGUGCCCCAAUCGCGGUGUGCUGGGGUGCAGUCAGCAGGGUACCUGAGCAUCCAGAGAGAAGAGUAAACCCAGUGAGGCUGUCCCAGGGUGCUGGGAUGAAGAGGAUGAAGCCAUGGUCUUUCACACAACUGCUCCCCACCUGGGCCCCCCACCUGCUCAUGAACUUCCUGCCCCUCCCACCUUGCCAGGCUUCAUCUCGUUAGGGAAAAUUUUGCUGAUACGCCAAGACAGAGUCAAUCACUCAUCUUCAGUGGCCUCCUUCUACUCUUCUUUGUAUGCUUUUUGUAAUCUACCGAGUGGAAAUUGUUGGUUUAUAUGGUUGUAUUUCCCAUGGGCCCUGCUGUUCCUAAAGGCAGGGCUCUGGUCUGAUCUAUCAGUAACUGGUCCCCAGGACCAGAACGAAGGCUGGCACCAAGCAGAUAUUCGAUAGCUUGCUAACCUGAUUUAGGGAACGAGGCCUCAACAACCCCUUACAUUAGGGGGCCACAUAAAAUCCCAAUUCUCACCCCCUGCCCACUAGACCCCUUGUACUCUCUUCCCUCAAAUGAUUCUUUAAAAGUUGGGUCUCUAAAAGUUAUCCACAACCCUCUUGUCAUCUCAUGCUCUUCUUUUGAAUGUCCGCCGUGCACCCAGAGACUUCCCUAAACUUACUCUCCCAGUGUCGUCUCCAUCCCUAUCCUCAGGGUUCCUGAAGAGCAGGGCUCUGAUGUGAUUUCUGGAGUAAGCCAGAAAUGGAAAAGGGGUCCCUCAUGCCUUACAAUUAAUUAUUGGACAGGGGCUUAAGCUUCUGCCUGCUCAAUAACAUUAGCCCCGUGCACUCCCUUCUAGAACCCUGCUGCUACCAGAGUAUUAGUGCCAUCAUCUUUCCUCUAAAUGACAGCCUCCCCACUGACCUACCUGCUUCCAGCCUCUCCUAUAUAACUGUGCCUCCACCCUGCAGCCCAAGAACGUUUAAACCAAAACCAUCUCUCCUCUGCUUGAACCCCUUUGCUAGCUCCCCAUUACCUAGAGGUAUUCGAGUCUCCCCACUUUACUUUGCUGACUACUCCAGCUGCUCUUCCAAACCCAUGCCCCUUUUUUCUAAGGGCCUUGGACCAUUUCCAUUCUGUGAACGUGUUAUGCUCAUGUUCUUUCCACCUGGACUGCCCUCCCCUCUUCCAUCUCUCUGGUUAGCUUCUAUUCACCCUUUAAGGUCUAGCUCAGUAUAUCCUCCUCGGUGACAUCUUUCUCAUCCCUAUGGACAACAUUCCCAGAAACCCCCAGAACACAAUUUCUCAUGCUAUGGGACACUUGAUUCCAUGACUGUGUUCUCCAGUCUGUCAUGAGUUUCUGGAGAAGGGGGAUGGACACUGACAUAGAUGCUGCCCUCACCUGCUGACAUUGCCAUGGUGGUGCCGGCCACCAUGCCCAUGGCCACACCGUUGGUCCGGGGAGCAGCAACAGGCGCUGGGUAGAUGGCGGAGGGAAUGCUGUUGGGCUGGACAACCGUGGUGUGGUGGAUGACGUGGGGCUGGGCAGCAUACACCGGCUGUGUGUAGUAGGCUCCCUGAGGGAAAAGAGGCCGAGGUCACACAAGCUUUUGGAGAUGUGGGGUAGGACAUGGGGAGGAGGAAAAGGGAGGGGGAGCCUGUUCCUCCCAGACCCUAUGGGAUAGGGCCAGAUAAGCAUGGACCUAGAGAUACAAGGUCUGGGCCGCAGUUGGGAUUCUGUGUCUGUCUUACUACAUGACUCUGGACAGUGCAGUAACGGGCUCAGCUUUUCGUUAUGAAUUACGAAAAAUAAGGCUCCAGCCCUGUCCUGCUUUGCUCCUAGGGUUGCUAUGAUGAUCUAAUAGGGUAACAGCCUGAAUUCUGACAUUUUAAAAUGGUUGGAUCUUACUGCAGUGUGCUUCUAUGAGCUGCCUAAAAUGUAAGGGCAGGGACCACAGUCAGUGAGUGAGAAUAUGGAUGGGGCUGGUGAAUCCAGACCACUGUGUACAUGCACAUGAGGAAUUACCAGCGGGGCGAUCACACUGGUGCGAGUACUGCCGUUUUACCUACUGGGGACUGUCACAAAUGCAGAGCUUUUCCCCAGAUGUCUCUUACUAUUUCUCUUUAGGCAAAGAGGUGAGGAUGGAGACAGUUGUCUUAGGUGACUUGCCACUGCCUAGAUCACAGUGCUGCUUCCUGCUGCCACAGCCCACAGGCCUGGUGACCUUUGUGGGGAGUAGACACAGCCCCCUGGGUCAUCUUACUCCAGAGCUUUCCCAAUGCCUCUACUAACUAAUGACAGGAGCCUCAGAAUAUGGGUUUAUAAUCCCAGAGGUCUGAGAACAUAGUGCAAAGCAGCCUACCACAAACCAGAAAAACGAUCUCCAGCCCACUUCUAUCUUUUAAAAGUUUUGCAUUCUAUUCUACAAUGUAGCUUUUCUUUAAAUCAAAAACUGUUCUCCUCACUACUUAAAAACCUCAUGUAGAACUGUCAGCCGAGAAAAAAUGUGCCAUGUGGUAUGCUGGAGCCUCAUAUAGUCCCUGUCAUAGCCAUCCCCUCAGAGUACACACAUUCUCUCUAGCUGAAAGAGCCCAGAUGGGGACACUAAGGCACUCAAGAGAAAUAACUUACUGAUGGUCACACAGGGAACUGGUGACAGAGCCUGAGAACUUAUCUCCUCCCUGUUCAGCUCACAGAUUUUAUCAAGGAAGGGUAGGUGUGGGGGUUAGGGAGAGAAGCCCAAGACACAUGGGGUCUCAUCCUGACUCAACCAACAGCUCCCUGUGUGACCUUGGACAACUCACUCUCCUCUGGGUCUCAGCUUCCCCACUUGUAUAAAAAGGAAUUGAAUGGAGUGCCUGGGUGGCUCAGUCAGUUAAACAUCCAACUCUUGGUUUCAGCUCAGGUCAUAGUCUCAUGGUGGUAAGACUGAGCCCUAUAUUGACCUCCACACUGGGCGUGGAGCCUACUUAAAAUUCUCUUUCCCUCUCCCCCUCAUUCUCUCUCUCCAGAAAAAAAAAAAAAAAAAAAAAGAAGGAAUUGAGCUAGAUGAUUUUCAGGGGCCCCUGCUCCUUUGACAUUCUGGGCGCUAUUCAUCUAAACGGCUUCAUGCAUCACCCCUGAGGGGCUGAGGUGGGGUGAGGGAGUCUGUAGACUACAGGGCUACCAUUUCUAUGAUAUAAUAAUGGCAAGUGGCCAGAGCCAUGAACUUGCUUUCCCUCUCUUCCUCACCCACCCCCAACCCUCCUAGGCUGGUCACUCCUUUACCUACAGAAGUGGUGGGCCCAGGCUUCCACAUGCACCUACCUGGGCAUACAGAUUCUGCUGGGGAUAGGCACUUCUGAUUGGAUACAUGGCCGUCUGAUAGGGGUUGGGUGAUGGGGAGUAGGGGGGUGGAGCAGUAUUACUCUGGGUCGGUGGGACCUUGUACGGUGUCCCUGCAGUAUAUCCUGUACCAAGGCAAUAAGAGAGACUUCCAGUUAGUUGACAGAACAUUGUCAGAAGGUAGCAGGUCCCAGUCACGACUCCCCAGACAAGGAUGGGCUGAUUCCAGGCUGGAAACACAGAUGAGAACAGUGAACAGGGCUCCACCCAGAGAGCCUUGGCCCCAGAGGCAGCUCCCUCAGUCCUGGUGCACAGGGCACACAAGUGAUUCUGGCAUCUUGUAUUUUUCUGGGUCUCAGGGGUAUGACAUAUAAAAUAAGAGGCUGGAACCAGAUGAUCUCCUAAGGGACCCUUGCAGCUCAGACAGUUUGGGAUUCUGUCUACAUGCUGUGAGACAGGCACGUACACACAGACAGGAGACCCUCCGCCCACUUGCCCUUUAUCUCACUCUGUCUUCCUGCUUUUCUGUCUCCUCACUCAGCAGCCCAGGUGUCUUCUGCUGCUGUUUCUCUUUUGUUUUCCCCCUUAUUCUUUUUCUCUCCUUGUAUCUCUCUCUUUGGAAUUCUCUCUCCCACAUUCCCCUUCUUCCCUGAGAGGGUUAAGGUGAAAAGCCCACAGAAAACACCAUUCAGAGCCAGCCUUUCCCCCCACUCCUGGGGCUUGGAGGGAACCACCUCUGCCUGAAGUCAGGGGUCAUGAAAGUUCACAUCAACCUGAAACCUAGGCCCCAGGGAGCUCACAAUCAGUGACUCGAUUAAACUGUGCUACCUUUGACUGUUCUGGAAAAUAGAGUCAGAUCCUAUGUCCACAGGAAAAAGCUGAGACAUAAAUCACCCAGGAACAAGACUGUGUACUCACAUAACACAAAAUGAAAUGAUUCUAUGGAAACCAAGUAAUCAUCAAGUGACCCCUAACUCUCUUACUUUAUACAAUGGGCUCAGAAAGGGCAAGUGUUUUUACAAACUGCUCCUUCUUUCUAAGUUGAAGGGACAGUGCCAGAAGACCUUGGCUUUGGAUCUCCAAUGGGGUGUUGCUGAUACUUCUUCCCUGGGCUUCCCAUCCAGGCUCAGUCUGGUUGGUACAUCACUGACCUUCUCCUGCCUCAAAGUAAGGUCUUUCACCUACAAGAUGCUCACCAAGGACUGUCAGCAACGUGGUGCUGAUUCUGCAAGAAGGGACUGGGGGGCAGAGCAAAGAGGGGUGCUUUAUUGGAAGAAAACAGACCAAGGCUUCAGUUCAGGCUUUUUUUUUUCCAAUUUGGUGUGCCUAUUAUCAAGUGUCUGGGCUUUAGUUUCCUAUUUUGUUAAAUCAGAAGGCUAAGAAUGAAGAUCUCCUCCUGAACUAAAAUCCCAUUUUUCUAAAGAUCCUAGGUCUCUUUUACCCUAUCCCCAAGUAAAAGCAAGCUGCUGUAAGGUCACAAAUCUGUCUCCAUCCACAGCACUGGCCUGGCGCCCGCCCCCCCCACCUCCCCGCCCCUGAUGAGAUACUCAGUAGGAUAUGAACGCUGCUAUUUGGUCACCACAAAAGGCACCACCGAAAGGCAUCCUUGUCCUCUUCCCUGGAAUCAUGUCAUUUACUUUUCCAUCUGCAGAUCCAUAGUUUAUUCCAUGAGAAACUGGUUUUGUGGUCAAAUACAUUUGGGAAAUAAGUAGCAAUGAAGAUGGAGUGGAAAGAAUACAUUCAGGAGAAGGUAGCAUUGUGAAAAAAAGAGAAACUAGACAUGGAGGUGCCAAUCAGCUGAGAGGAGUCUGGAGCAGAUUCCUCCAAGUUUCUAGAUUGUGGCACUAAUUAUGAUAUGUGGUCAAGGCAGGUGAAGCAGAUACUGCAGGGGCAGACAGAAGUCUAAGUCUGUGAUAUCUACAAGGAGCCAUCUGAGGGGCACUUCACCUGGGAGGUAUGGUUUUUUAAUCUGUAAAACAGGUGGAGGUUCUCAAAAUGGGCGUGUCCCAAGACUGUGCGAUGAACUAUAUCAUUCUGAAGGAUUUUAAUCACUGUUUAAAAAAAAAAGUGCGGUAAUGUAGAAUAGAGAUAAAUAGGUUUGUUUUUUAUUCCAUGACCCUGAGAAGUUUUAAAAUGACAGGAUGAACUAUGAAUCUCCGAGAUAGGGAUAUGCAGGAGACUAUUUACAAAUUUAAUUUACCACUGAAUCUUUUAUUCACGCUAUUAACAUUUAAAACAGGCAAACUAUAGGGGCGCCUGGCUGGCUCAGUUGGAAGAGCAUGCGACUCAUGAUCUCGGGGUCAUGGGUUCGAGCCACAUGCUGGGUGUACAGAUUACUAAAAAAUAAACCAUAAAAUUAAAUAAAUAAAUGAAUACAUAAAACCUGAAAACUACAGUUUUUGUAAUUGCAACUUAUCUUGGUAAGCAAAGUUUUAUUGUAACAGCCACGUCCAUUCAUUUACUUCUCAACUAUGGCUGCUUUCUUGCUACAACGGUAGUUAUGACAGAGACCAUACGGCCUGAAAAGCCUACAGUAUUUAUUAUUUGGACUUCUACAGGGAUAGCUUGCUCAAUCUGAUUUAAAGGAAUAAAAUAAGGUUAUGAGGAGUCCUGCCAGAGUGGAGAGCAUCUCUUUUCUAUGCAGAAGGGCAGGAUACCCUUGAAUCCUAAGAUACCUGUCUCUGAAAGCUAUACAGCACAGAGUAGCGGUUAUGAGUAGUCUGGAGCCAGACUGACUGCCUGGGUCUGAACCCCAGCCCUGCUAUUUAACAGCUGUAGAAAACAGCAGUCUCCUCAUCUGUAAAAUGGGGACAACAGUACCUAUUUCAUUGGGUUGCUGUGAUAAAUACAUUAAUUAAUAAUUGCAAAGCCCUCAGAAUAGUGCCUGACACAUUAAAAGCAUUUCAUAAAGGUGAGCUAUUAUUCUUUUCUCUCUCUCACUGUAUAGAGAAACACUUAGUAAGCUUCCUACCCUGGCGGUGUGCAAGCAGAGACUGGUCUGAAAGACUACAAUAGAGAGGUUAAACUAUGACUUCCAUUGUGUGAUCCAACUUGGAACACAGACUCCAGGAUUCUAAGAUUCUAAAACUGUAUGGUUUAAAAUACCAUGACUUCACAAUUCUUUCAAGUUAAUAAGCCAACGAUACUGGCAACUUUCCUUUAUGUUCCCCAAGAAUGUGCUCUGGAAUUUCUAUCCCUAGGGGAAGGCUGCUCUAUUCCUCUAUGCCACAAGGACAAUCAACCACCUUACAAAGUAUUGAGGUUAUCUCUCUGAGGAAAAUCAAAAAGCACCAAGAGUCUGCAGGAGAAUUUGGUUUCCAAGUCUAAGAAUAACUUUUUCUGAAAAUGUUUCCCUUUCUUCAUGUUAUGAAAUGAGAUACACAUAUACUCAGAAUACAAAUCAGCAGCCAGAGUACCCUUGGCAGCCAAAAGAUGAUGCUGCAGAAGAAGGCCUUGCUCAUUUGUCCAGACAGUUUGAGAAGGAAGAAGCAGAGCUAGAGAUCAUUAAGCCCCCAACACAGACAUUUCACAGAUGAGAUGACGGACAGAUGGCUGAGACAGAGCAACUGCUCGCCAGGACUCAGGACCCAGUGCUCCUUCCUCCAACUACAGUAGUUCUCAAGGUUUCCACCUGUGUUAAGAGGCUGCAGGAACUGCCUGGGCUCCCAUCCUGGGCUUUGUCAGUGAGUCAGGUCAAUUCUUCUCUCAAGGAAUACCCUCAUUUGGACUGGAUAGUAUCAGAAGGCAUUCUAGUGUUGAUAUUCUAAGUCUCUGAGUAUUUCAGUGAGACUUAUGAGAAAAUCACUGCAGUGGACUUUCUACAACUGACUGACAGUCCUGUCCGCACCACUGAGGAGUAUAAAGUCCCCUGGAGCUAUAGCCUCAGCUACCUUGGUAAGGCAAAAUUUAGGAUUUGUUAUUCUGUGCAUCUAAGUAAAAGAAGCUAUUGGGCUUGAUGAUGCAAAAACAAACAAACAAAAACAAAAAACAAACUCACUGAUUUUGCUGAAAUGAACUUAGACUCAGCUCCCUCACUGGAGGUCUGGCACUUGUGAAUGGACUUCUACCUAAGUCUGAAGGUCACAGGAUUAGGACUUUGGAAUGCUAUGCCUUCAGGAUAUUAGAGACUUGCAUUCAACUUUUUACAUUUCAAAUGAAUCUGGAGCUGAGAGGGGGGCAGCGACCUUCCCGAAAUCGCACAGCAAAUCAGUGCAGAGCUGGCUCAGAGUUCAGGGCUUCGCAUGACCUGGGCAGCGGUUCCUUUCUGAGUUAUAGGUCUCUGCAGUCCAAUCUUGGACAUCUGACAUUUAGCCUUCAUGUCAUCAUUUCAUUAAAGGCAAUACUGUGACAGAAAAAAGGGAAUUAGAUCACUAGAAGUCCCAGCUCUGCCUUAUGAAAGAGGCUUUGUUUAUGAGGCCCUAUUCUUUCUCUCAGGUCCCUAACUAUAAUUUUAGGGUCCAUCAAACAGGAAAAUAAAUAGAGUCUGCACAUUAGUGAGAUAAAAACUGUUUUAGCCCUCUCUUCAAUCCUUCUGCACUACCAUAAAUCUUUUUCAGUUGGAGAGCCCCUACCACCUUCAAAGGCAUUGAUCCUUACAUCAAGGAUGCCUUUUAGACUAAUCGGUUUAUUGACCAUCAGAUUUACAUGUCUGAACAAAGCUCUAUGUCUGAGUCUUGCCUUGACCCCCAAGUCUCCUUGUUGAUAGCCGAACAAGAGAGUGUGGAAUAAGUAGGAGGGAGACCCAAUUACAAACAGCCUUAGCAAGUGUUGGUAAAAUUAAACUGAAUUUGUUAAAGUGCCCUGAAUUUUCUGUAGCAAUUAGAAGCCACAAAAUCUGUGUCGGGAGGAAGCCUGGUGGGAGUGGGAGGGGCGGGCGAGCCAACCUCUAUUUAAAAAUUCCACAGGUUCACACACUACUGGCUUUAAAGAAAAGGGGCACAUUGUGGUCCUUUCCAGGGACUGUGACAGCCUGUGAGGACAGUGGGAGGUAGCUGCAGGACAUUUCAAUGGGACUUCAGGAAGAUUUCAACACAGGAGAAGGUGAAGCCUUCUAAUAUUCAGACAUUCUCACUGUAGAAAGGGUUGCCUGUGGAGGGAAUGAAUACCCUGGAGAUAUAUAUGUGAGCAAAGGCUGGCUGGUCAACUACGGGCAGGGUAGCUAGAAAGGUCCCUGCUAGGGUGGUGGAUAUUGAGUACAUAGCACCCUGGUGACAGAAUCAGGAGUCUAACAGCUAGACAGAACUUUCAAAGGUCCUAGUCCAGCCCCCUCAUUUUACAGUUGGAAAAACCAAGGUCCAGAGCAUGGACAUAAAUUAUCCAAGGUUGUACAGAACCAAGUCUAGAAUCCAACUCUUCUGGUCUCCAUCCCAGGCCUCUUUCUGCUAAACUAUAGUAGGUGUGUCUAUAUGCAUGUACAAUCACGUGUGGGUUUAAGAGAAAAUAUGUAUAUGUAUAAGCCCAUUUACACAUAUGUUUGCUCAAUUCUACCUGAGGUACCUGAGAAAACUCCCUACUACUGCCAUCCCUCUCUUAAUGAGUACAAUCAAUCUCAUGAAAAAAGUCAAUAAACUUAACCUGAAAUUUAAACCUGA